rnacentral:sRNA from 2 species
GCAGCGUACAAGGAUGAGGGAUUUUAAAGCAACCAUGGUAUAGAGGUCUCGCGUGUAAUGGUUUAUGUAUAAAUUCGGUGUGUAUUCUGGCACAGGCAUGUCAAUAUCUCCUGUUUCGUCGCCCUCUGUCUCCCAAGGUGGACAUAUCUCGCGCAGCUCCCAUGCAGCAGGGGACAUGCGGAACAAAGUAUCCUUUAUUAGGGUCAAUGAAUGUUCUCUGAAGACGGAGUAGAAGGCCUUGUUAAUGACAGAGAGAUUAAACAAAUCCUCAAGGUUGUCGAUUUUCUGCAUGAUCUGAUAGAUAACACUCUUCGCUAUCUCGCUGGGGAAGGGUUCACAAAGCAUGUCUUUGGACCCCACACGUUCGCUGGCGGAGGACAACUCACUGUCCUCGAACUCGAACACUUCAUUAUUUUUAUUAUGGCAGGAACAAGUGUUAUGAGGAGAUUCUGGUUGCUCUGGAUCAAGCCUGUUGAGGACCGCCAUGAUGCGCUCCUUGGGACUGGUCUCGUUGUUGAUGUCAGGUUGGUUUUCUUGGUCAGUAGGGGACUCCACCACUGCACUGAGGUUGACAGGGCCCCUGAUCGACUUGGCGCUGAGCUGGGUUCGUAGGCGGGGCAAGCUGAGUCGAAGGUUACGCUCGACAUUCUCACCCCUUCCCUUCCUUAACGUCGCCACGCGAUUUACCGUUUCUGUCGGUUUCGCAUCAUCGCUGCUGUUGUUACUGGGGCUCAUGCUAUAGUCGAGAUUAUCAUCAUUCGCACAAACCUGCGGCAAUGGGCUGGGCAAUGGUUGGUGCUUAUCAACCGCCUCUACUAACUCACUAAUCGUCGGUGUCACUUUAACCUUCUUUUUAGCGCUCCAACUCUUUUUGGCUGGAAAACUGAAAGAAGAAUGAUCGUUGCGCUUCUUAGGCGAAGAUGCCUUCUUAGUCGGGGACACGGAUGAGUGUGGACCAAGUUUUGUUCGAUGUGAACGUGGUUUCAGUGGUUUAGUGGACCGAGACAGAGCAGAGAGCUGUUCUUCCAGCUCAAAGGUAGCCAUGCGCAGAGAUGGAGAGCUAGAGAUUGUGCUUGAGCCGGAAGCUCGUCCUGAUUUCGAUUUGGCGUGUUUACUGGGCGCCACAUGAUAAAAGCCUGAACGACGGAAUGCCUCAUCCAAAAUAUCAAGGUCAGACGGUCGUGGGUCUCGUGGCAGGAAUACCGGUUUGCUUGUCGGCUGGAUUAACCGACCGCAAUGAGAGGCAUUGCCCAUGGGUUCUUGUCCGACGGAUUCCUCUUCAAGCCAGUGUUAUCGUCGAACACGCCGGCAGUAACGGGAGAUAUUAACGAAUAAGCCUUGUUGUGUCUAGAACAUCCGUCUGCAACGGAUUUUUGGGGGAAGUCAUCUGAGUAUAUACUCGAUCUUGAGGAGGCUGGGCUAUUCGGCGCAGAGACACUUCUACCGAGCUCGGAAGAAGUAGUUGAAUUACCACUUUUCCCAGACUGGUCCAAAAGCGGGUCCGUUUCAACUUGAAUGAGCUUGUCAAAGGAGGGAGGAACAAAAGCUCGCUGAGGCUGGGGCAUAUCGAUUGACAAAGGUGAAACAACUGUCGAAGGGGCUAG